UUUUUUUUCUUUUGUUUAGUACUAACAAUAAACUUUGUAACAGGUUUUUGCAAUGAGGAGAAGAAGGGAAAAUGAGAGAACAUAUACUUAUGUACUAUUAGAACCAGGGAAGGAUGAGAGGUUUGUGUCAGAGGAAGAGUUGAAAGAUACUUUGAAAGAGUGGCUCACAAAUUGGCCUGGCAAGACUCUUCCUCCUGAUCUUGCAAGAUAUGAAACCAUUGAUGAUGUUGUUUCUUUCUUAGCAAAGUCCUUUUGUUAACUUGAAAUUGAUUGAGAAGUUGGAUCAGUUCAGUGGUAUGAAUUUCGUUUGGAGUGAAUAUAUAGAAUCAUAUUAUUCCAUCAACCAUUUCAUUUGUGUCUUGCCAACUUGUGAUUGUAAUAGUUGAGGAACCAUUUGUGUUAUUUAGAACAUUCCAUUCUCUUGUAACUGACACAAACAUGUUAUUUAUAAUUUGGAUGAAUAGUUUAAUUAAACACUUGCAACAUAAACAUUUAUUAUAAAAGUGCUUAUGUACAAACUAUUUUCAUAAAAACUAUAAGUUGUUUUUAUAAACUAUCCAGCAACACUUGUGGAAAUUAACCGAGAACAACUUAAAGACAUGUCAUAAGUUGUUUCCAUAUCAAGAUCCUUACAACAGAAAAGUACCACUUCCCUAAUCAUAUCCCCAUUUAUCGUAAACUAUCUGCCAAAGUAUACCAAAUCAGAGAAAAAAGGUUGAAAAGAAAGAAGGAUAAACAAUUUCUACUAGAAGGGUAAAAUAAAUUGAUCUUAUUUGAAAUCCUUACAUAAGUUUCUUCAAGGAUCAAUAUGUUAGGAGAGUACAAAACUUUUUAACAUCAGAGUAUGUUGCUAGAAAAUCCUACUUAGGAACAAAAAUCAGUAGAGCAUUAUAUAGUUCUUUAAGAUACUUCAUUAUCUUCAAGUUGAAUUCCUUGAUUAUCAUGUAGAACAAAGUUCCAUUGAAUUCCUCAAGUUGAGUUGAGUUUCUCAUCAAUCAGCAUUGGAAGCUUGUUUUGAAGAGGACUCAGAUCCUGCAAGCACAUGUCUGGAACCUGCAGUAAUCGGCAUAAACUAGCAUUGUUAAAAAUAACCACACUGAAAAUUACACACCAAAUUAACAAUCCCACAUAUUGUAAGCAUGAAUACAUCAGACACGACACUCACACGCCGACACAAAUAAUAAUUUGAGCAAAUGAAUUUAUUGAAUUAUUAAAUGUAAUCACGUGUGUGUCAGACACCGAACACAUAUACGAUAUGAAGUGUCCGUGCUAUAUAUGUUAUAUAAGAAAUCUGAAGCUGUUAUUGAUACCUUUGGUUGAUAUUUACCAGGUCCAGGUGGUAAUAGUGCACCACCCUUUUUGUUUUUUGCAAGAAGGCCUUUGGUUACUGGGGACAUCAUCAUAUCAGUUGGGCUUGUAUACCUAACAAAAUGAAGUAAAAAAUAACAAUUAGCCAACACAUAAUGAUAGAUAGAUAUUCAUUCACUAACCCAACUAAGGACACAAAAAUUGAUUUUGAAUGUAUAAAUUCUUUAAAAUUGGUUUCAACAUAAAAGUGAUUUACUUUUGAUAAAUUUAAAAAUAAUUGCAGAAACAAAAAUUACAAAUUCUAGUUUUAAAUUAGAAUUAAUUAUACCGAAACAAUCAAUUAAACUACCAGAUAACAUAAAACAUGUCAAAAUCAAUUCAAAUAAGCACGCAGUCUUAACCAUCACUGAAUCAACUUUAAAAUACAACUCGAAAUAUGAGCCGUCGGAUCUUUAUGGAAUUGCGUCAUUACAGAGAAUCUAAUAUAAAAGACAAGGUAGAUACCUUUCAAGAUAUUUGAAUGGUUUGGGGAGUUUGAGAUGAUAUGGGGUGACAGGUUUUCGCAAUUCAUUGGAGGGUAGUUGAUGAUGAUCAACCGGAGGAGGAGGAGGAAGAGGAAGAGGAGGAGUUGGUAUUGUUUUGCAUUGAGAUUCCAUUUUUGGAGGGGUUUGCGACAUAUUUUCCAUCACAAUUAGUUAUGUGAUACUGCUGCACUUGGUUAUAUAAGGUGAGUGGGUGGGUGUUUUUAGGAAAUUGAAUGGCAACGGUCGAAUUUAGUGAAGAUGCUAGAAAUGAAGAAAAUUGGGUUCUAUUAUGCUGCUGUUUGUCCGUUGGGACUUGGAAUGGUGGAUAUGCAUAAACAAAAUGGCCCACCAACAAAACAUUCAUUUUUCAAACAUUAAAAAUAUAAUGAUAUAUUUUGCUAACGAAUGUCGACUUAAUUGAUAAGGAAUUAGCUUAUAUGUAAGGUUAAUGCGAUAGUUGUUUUGAUGGAUGAUAUACCUCUUAAACGUCAUUUGAGGUUUGAGGUAUGUCAUAAUCUUAGAAAGCAAACAGAGCCAUGCUCACUUAAAUUUUUUAGUAAAAAUAAAAAUGUAGUUAUUUUUAUUUUUAUGGCAUGAAAAUAAAGUAUUUUUUAAUGACGACGGUUAGUAAUUUGUAGAUGUUAGUUCAAUAUUUACUCUUUCAUCUGAGUUUGAACUCGAGACAUACAACUCUUUAUUUGCUAACUUAAAUCAAUUGAAAUAUCUGACUUCAAUAAAGUAUUCGUAAUCGUCUCAUGGGUGAUAACGUGUUGUGUAAACAUCAAUUUUGGUCCCUGGAUUGCACCUCAGUGUCAUAACGGUCAUUCAAUCAAGAAAAAACACAAAAAAAAACCCCGACUCUACAAUAUGUUAAGUGUUAUGGUCUCCGAUGUUAGAUUUGGUUGUUAUCUGACCCAAAAAACUGAGUUGACAUUAUUUUUUGCUGACAAGGAGUGUGUGACGUGGCAUUAGAGACUAAAUUAACAGAAUAUAUAUAUAUAUAUAUAUAUAUAUAUAUAUAUAUAUAUANNNNNNNNNNNNNNNNNNNNNNNNNNNNNNNNNNNNNNNNNNNNNNNNNNNNNNNNNNNNNNNNNNNNNNNNNNNNNNNNNNNNNNNNNNNNNNNNNNNNAUGGGUCCCACUGCAGGAAAUGACCAAAAUACCCUUCUGUAUGACCUUUUGCAAAUUUUGAAAUAAACUGUAGAAAAAGCAAUGUAAUGAUUCAGAGGCACUUUUGAAUGACUUACAAGACAAGUAAAGACAUUUCAAAAGGUUUUAUGCAAGAAAAACAUAGGUAAAAUUGUGAUUGAAAAUAUCGCGAAGCAGAGACAAUCCGAACUGUGCAGUUGAAAUUUGUUAACUGACAAAGUUUGAAAAUGAAAUUGGGCCCAGUAUUUUUAGGUCCAAAAACAGGGUAUAACACCUGUGUUUAUCAUCGCUCUCUCCUGUUGCUUCCCCAUCAAUGGAUCCAGGUAUCCUAAUUAAACCAAUUGAGUUGUUUAUGAUAGAGGAUUGGAAGCGAUUCAACUAAAUUCUAUUAGGCGUUUUUGGAAAAUUGUUUGAUUUUACAUGAUUUGAUAAAUUUCAACAAUCAAAUUCUCACGGUCCAAUCAAAAUCUUCCAUGAUUCACUUCUUCUUUUUUGUUGACGUUUGAUUCACUACCUUUCCUUCAAAGGGAAAAGAUUAAAAAAAAGGUUGAUAUAAGAAAUUGACAUAUGAAAAAUUUCAUCCAAUUAUUAUUGAUUUCAUAAAUUCAAUUAAUCGAAGAUCAUACAAUUGCACCGCAAACAAGAAUAUUGAAGAAUUAGCAUAGAAAGAAUAUUAAAGAGUGGAUGUGGCUGAGAAUUACAAAGUUCGACGAACUAAUGGCCUGAAGAUUCGUUCAAAUUAAGCUUUUAGUGAAUAUGUGAUCAAAAUCAAGUAUAAUCGCGCAGUGAAAACAGAUGUGAGUUGAUUUAGUAAACAAUUAUAAGCCUUUGAUUUUAAAAAAUAGACGGUUGAGAUAUGGUGUCAACGGAUCCUGACUCAUAUAUAUAUAUAUAUGUUAAGUAUCAUGGUCUCCGAUGUUAGAUUUGGUUGUUAUCUGACCCAAAAAACUGAGUUGACAUUUUUUUUUUGCUGACAAGGAGUGUGUGACGUGGCAUUAGAGACUAAAUUAACAGGAUAUAUAUAUAUAUAUAUAUAUACAUAUAUAUAUGGGUUCACUUAAAAUCCCUAGAUUCGCAAUUCAUUCCAUCCCUUAAUCAAUUCCAAAUUCUUAAUCUUACUCAUUCUUCCUCCUCCUUAUUCUUUUCAAUCUUCCAUUGAUCUUAAUGAAUCAAUUUCAAAUAUAUGGUAUGUAUGCAAUGAACCAAUGGUAAUGAAUUAAAAUAUUUCCAAGUUUUGAAGAACCUGUUGAUUCUAACUCUGAGAUUAUGAGUGACGAUGAUGAGAUUGUGAAAGAGGUUGAUGAAGAAUCUCUUGAUUCCAACUUUGAGAUUUUCAGUUUGAAGGGGUUAUGAACUCCAAAAGGAAAUCAUAUUCAUUUUUAUCAGGAGAAAGACAAGUCAGAUAAGUGGUUUUAUGUUUGUUUUUGCUUAAUCUUGUCAGCUCAACUUUUUUUAUUAGUUAACAACCAAACCUAACGUUGAAGACCAAAGUAGUUAACGAAUUGAAGAGUUAAUUUUUUAUUUUUUUUUCGAGUCAGAGACCAUUAUAACAUCGAAGUACACAUCCAGGGGACCAAAAAUGUUGUCUACCCUAAUUUCUUCUAUAGAAAUAAGAGUUAUUGAAAUACAAAUAUUUUAGUAAUAUCAACUAAGAAACUCCAGGUCUUCUAUCAACGUUGCAAUGAGUGCAGGAUCUCCAACAACUUAAUAUGGAUUUUAAGGUGGACUCAAAAACACUGGUGGACAACAUUUAUGGGAAGAGAAAUAAUGUCUCUAAUUUCAAUCUAAUUAUCAACAAUUGCAUUUGUUUGUUACUCACAGAUCUUAUGAACUCUUAUGUUAAAUUUAUUUAUUCACAUAUAAACCAUAAAGAUGUUCAUAGUCCGACGAAAAUGACUCUAUGUUUUGCUUGUUUUCAAGCAAGCCAAUCUUAAAAACUCUGAUAAGAAAUUUAUUCAAAGACAACUCAUAAAGUUGUUCAUAAUACGACUAUAAUAGCUCUAUAUCAUGUUAAUCUCAUACUUUUAUCGACAUUCGAACAUAUAUCACAAUUCUUUUCAAAUAUAAAAAAAAUAAAAUUUGUUUCUUAAUAUACUAAGAACUAGAUUAGUCAUUUCAAAACAUGACUAUAGAUACAAUGAUCAAAUGUAAUAGUUCUAUGUAGUACUUUUUUUUGUUUUGUUUUUGAAAUAAGUUCUAUGUAGUAUUUGUAUUAGUCAAACAAAGUCAAGCCAACAUAAUUUGACAAACAAAAGACACAAAGAAAACGCGUUUAGACGAAAAUAGAAACACCACACUUUGCGUUUUAUAGUCUUCUUCUUUCUCUGUUUCUUCUCUUUCCCUUCACAAAAUUUCCAAAAUUAGGGUUUUCAAAAACCCCCAAUUUCAAACACUUCAAAAUAAACUCAAUUUCUUCAAAUUUCAUCUUCUAUGAGAUGUUUUCAUCUUCAAUUUUCAUCAAAUGGAGUUUCUUUCUUCUCUUCUUAUCUUCUUCAAACGACGCCGUUUCGUCAUUUUCCGAUAAAUCAACUCUCCUCCGCUUCAAAGCCUCUCUUUCCGACCCAUCCGCCGUUCUCUCCACCUGGAGCUCUACUGCCAACCACUGUUCCUUCUACGGAGUUCUCUGUGAUUCCAACUCCCGUGUUGUUGCUCUUAACAUCACCGGCAACGGCGGCGUCGAAGAUGGUAAACUGAUUUCUCAUCCUUGCUCUGAUUUUUACAAGUUUCCGCUUUAUGGGUUUGGAAUUAGGAGAAGUUGUGUUGGUUUUAAGGGUUCUUUGUUUGGAAAGUUUCCAUCUUUGAUCAGUGAGUUAACUGAGCUUAGGGUCUUGAGUUUACCCUUUAAUGUGUUGGAGGGUUUUAUUCCUAAAGAGAUUUGGAAUAUGGAGAAGCUUGAGGUUCUUGAUUUAGAAGGUAAUUUGAUUAGCGGGUCUAUUCCUUUGGGUUUUGAAGGUUUGAGGAAAUUGAGGGUUUUGAAUUUAGGGUUUAAUAAGAUUGUUGGAAUGGUGCCUAGUGUUUUAGGUGAUAUUGAUAGUUUGGAGGUUCUGAAUUUGGCUGCAAAUGGUUUGAAUGGUUCUGUUCCUGGUUUUGUUGGGAAGUUUAGAGGGGUGUAUUUGUCUUUUAAUCAGUUCAGUGGUGUUAUUCCGGAGGAGAUUGGUGAGAAUUGUGGGAAGCUUGAGCAUUUGGAUUUGUCUGGUAAUUUGUUGGUUCAAGAGAUUCCGAAGAGUUUGGGGAAUUGUGGUGGGUUGAAGACGCUUUUGUUGUAUUCGAAUUUGUUGGAAGAGGAUAUUCCUGCUGAAUUUGGGAAGCUUAAGAGUCUUGAGGUGUUGGAUGUUUCGAGGAAUACACUUAGUGGUCAUAUUCCUCGUGAGCUUGGGAAUUGUACGGAGCUUUCUGUUGUAGUGCUGUCCAACCUUUUCGAUCCGGUUGGGGAUGGUGAGUUUGUUACUUUGAAUGAUGAGUUGAAUUAUUUUGAAGGUGGAAUGCCUGAGGAAGUUGUGUCACUUCCUAAGCUUAGAAUUUUGUGGGCUCCCAUGGUGAAUUUGGAGGGUGGUAUUCCUACGAGUUGGGGUGCUUGUGGUAACUUGGAGAUGGUCAAUUUGGCUCUGAAUUUCUUCACCGGAGAGUUCCCAAACCGGCUUGGUUUAUGUAAGAAGCUACAUUUUCUUGAUCUGAGCUCAAACAAUCUUACUGGGGAGCUUUCUAAGGAACUUCAUGUUCCAUGUAUGUCUGUGUUUGAUGUUAGUGCAAACAUGUUGUCCGGUUCAGUUCCUGAUUUCUCCGAUAAUGUUUGUGCUCCCUAUCCUUCUCAGAAUGGGAAUCCAUUUGAAGCUGACGAUGUCAUGUCUCCUUAUGCAUCAUAUUUUUCAUCGAAAGCUCAUGAGAGAACCAUUUAUGCGUCAUUAGGGGGAAAUGGUCUUUCGGUUUUUCACAACUUUGGGCAAAAUAACUUCAGCGGCAUUCAGUCUUUGCCAGUAGUGCGUGACAGGAUGGAGGAAAAGAGUAGUUACACACUUCUCGUUGGAGAGAACAAGCUCACGGGACCAUUUCCUACAUAUUUGUUUGAGAAAUGUGAUGGAUUAGAUGCAUUGCUUUUUAAUGUCAGUUAUAAUCGGCUAUCUGGUGAGAUUCCUUCUAAUAUUAGUAGCAUGUGCAAAUCCCUGAAAUUUUUGGAUGCAUCCAAAAACCAAUUUUCUGGACAAAUUCCCUCCACGUUAGGGGAUUUGGUCUCUCUUGUUUCCCUGAACCUCAGUAGAAACGGGUUACAAGGUCAGAUUCCCACCAGCCUUGGACAGAUGAAGGUUCUGAAGUUUUUAUCUUUGGCUGGUAAUAACUUGAGUGGCUCAAUUCCUACCAGCCUGGGACAGAUGUACUCUUUACAAGUCUUGGACCUGUCUACAAACUCUCUUACCGGUGAGAUUCCAAAGUUUAUCGAGAACAUGAGAAAUCUGACCAAUGUUUUGCUGAAUAACAACAAUCUUUCUGGACACAUUCCUGCUGGUUUGGUAAAUGUCACUACACUCUCUGCAUUCAACGUGUCAUUCAAUAACUUAUCUGGAUACUUGCCGUCAAAUAGUAGCUUGAUCAAAUGCAGCAGUGCUGUUGGGAAUCCAUUUUUAAGUUCCUGCCGUGGACUUUCUUUGACUGUACCGUCAGCAAAUCAACAAGGGCAGGUUGAUGAAAGUUCUAUGACAUCACAAACUACUGGCAAAGAUAGCAAUAAUGGUUUCAAUGCAAUUGAGAUAGCAUCUAUUACUUCUGCUUCAGCCAUUGUUUCAGUUCUUAUAGCCCUUAUUGUUCUGUUUUUCAUCACACGCAAGUGGAAGCCGAGGUCCAGGGUUGGUGGUUCAGUCAAAAGAGAAGUUACAGUGUUCACUGAUAUCGGCGUCCCAUUGACAUUUGAAAAUGUUGUCCAAGCCACAGGAAAUUUUAAUGCAAGCAACUGUAUUGGGAGUGGAGGAUUUGGAGCAACUUAUAAGGCAGAAAUAUCACAAGGAAUCUUGGUGGCAGUGAAACGUCUUUCCGUUGGACGUUUCCAAGGUGUUCAACAAUUCCAUGCAGAGAUUAAGACCCUUGGAAGGCUUCAUCAUCCUAACCUCGUCACUUUGAUCGGUUACCAUGCUUGUGAGACAGAGAUGUUUCUCAUAUACAAUUAUCUUCCGGGUGGUAAUCUUGAAAAGUUCAUCCAGGAGAGAUCCACAAGGGCUGUGGAUUGGAAAGUUAUUCACAAGAUUGCACUGGACAUAGCGCGUGCACUUUCCUAUCUGCACGAUCAAUGUGUACCACGUGUACUUCACCGUGAUGUCAAGCCUAGCAAUAUCUUGUUGGACGACGAUUGCAAUGCUUAUCUAUCCGACUUUGGACUCGCCAGACUUCUAGGAACUUCAGAGACACAUGCCACUACAGGUGUGGCAGGAACGUUCGGCUAUGUUGCUCCCGAAUAUGCGAUGACAUGUCGUGUUUCUGAUAAAGCUGAUGUGUAUAGCUACGGUGUAGUGCUUCUCGAGUUGCUAUCUGAUAAGAAAGUGUUGGACCCUUCAUUUUCUUCUUAUGGGAAUGGUUUCAAUAUAGUUGCAUUUGCGUGCAUGUUACUAAGGCAAGGAAGGGCAAAGGAGUUUUUCGCCACAGGGUUAUGGGAUGUAGGACCAGAACAUGAUUUGGUAGAGGUUCUACAUUUAGCUGUUGUAUGUACUGUUGAUUCACUUUCAACUAGACCUACAAUGAAACAGGUUGUGAAAAGGUUAAAGCAACUUCAACCCCCAUCAUGCUAGCCCCUUAUGUGCUAUGAAACACUGGUCACAGGUACAGACUCAAAACACAAUUAUACUGACACCGGCUAUACAACGACACUGAUAUGCCGUCGCCGGUAAUUGUUUGAGAAAAUGAAUUAAUUGAAUGUAAUCACAUGUGGCAGCGUUGUAUCGGUGUCGGAAUGCGAUACGUGUCAGACACCGGAAACAUAUUCAAUCAACAGUGUCGGUUCUAUUGAAUUGUGUGGCUAUGCUCUUUGAAAUCAUUGUUAAUUGUUGGUGAUGUUUUGUUCCACUUGUAAUUUGUAUGUAAGUUGUAUUUGUGAUUUAUUAGAAUUUUGGGCCAUUUUUUAUGGACUUGUAUUAGGUUGAGUUCCCCAAUUUGUACUUAAUCAUCCCCUUGUAAAUAAGUUUUAAUAUAGUUGCAGCACCCCAAUUUUCCAUACUCUUUAGUUGAUUGGGUUAGAGGGCUUGGUGAAGAUUCUCUGCUGAAGAAUGCAGAUAUUUGAUUUCCAUUUCAUAUUGUAGAUUUCUUGAAAUUUUUGGUGCAGUUUGGCUGAAUCUAUUUGAGUGAUUAUAUUUUGAUUAUUUUUCUCAAUUUUUGGUGCAUGUUUGGAUUGACAAUAAGAUUAUAAUAUUUCUCAUUUCAAAAGAAACACGUGUUCUUCUACUUUGUUGUUGCCCACCACAUUAUUGAAUCAGCUGAAAAGUAGCAAAGUGGAGCUUGUGGCUACGAUUCAACCUUAGAAUCUAUGUCAAGUUGGCAACUUUUAUCUUAUCUCUCAACUGAUUUUAAUAAUUGAAUUUAAACAUACAAAAUCAAUCAAUAGUUAAUAUUCAUGAUAUACUCAGUUUAAAAUAUAUGCUUCUAAACAUUUUAUAAUAGGAAAACAAAAAAUUGCAUAUAGCAACAAAAUAAAAAUAAAAGUAACAAAAAAAACAAUAAAAAUAUAAUAAUUACAUAUUUCUCUUUUGAAACAUGCCUAAAUUGCAUUGUUAUCCAUUUCCUUCAUCAAUUUUUAUUUUUUUAACAACAAUAUAUCCUUCAAUAUUUGACCAAAAACAGAAUAUGCUUCUAGUUCAACAUUGGUGUGCUGCGUCACUAUAUUUGACUCAGUUGGAGUGAGAAAAUUGCCGUGACAAAAACUCAAUAUUCUGACUGUGAAAGAACCUUCUAUCCUUUUUCCACUUGGGACCCCCUCCCUGUCUUCCACUUAAAAUGUGUUUGGCUCUAUUUUUCUCCAUAGUCAUGGAAUAGUACAACUUAAUUUUUAUGUUGAAAAUAGCAACCGGGAAAUAGAGAUAAUUGUUGGAGUGAAAAAGUUUCAUAUGUCAUGGGUUAUUGGUCAGCUUAAAAUUUUGAUUAUGACCAAUGAUGCCAUGGUUGAUGUUGAUUCAACAAAAAUAAGAGCAAAUAAUAAAUAUAAUAGAAAUAAGGACUUGUGAAGAACGUGCAAUUUAGGUGAAGACAUCUUGAGUUAGAGUUUUAAGUUUCACUUUUGAGAGACAGAGAAAGUGUCUACCAAUAACUUCAUGAGAAUACAGAGAAUUUUUAUACAUCGUUCAAGAGGGUGAGAUUGAUAGAGUGAUCUUAGAUAUCGAGAGUCACAAUUAUAAAAUAGAUCUGCAUGUAACAUCAGGUCGACGAAAGACCGAUGAAAAGAUGGAGUGGCGGAAAGUAGGGAAUGAUGGCAGAAGGAGAAAAAUCCCUCCAUAUAAACUAUCCAUUGCAGCCUAUGGUGCUGCUUUGGCUUGGCAGACCUCCAUUCACAAAUUGCCUAUGAUUGUUGGCAACAUAAUCCACCGUGCCAUUCAGCAAUUGCUUGCAGGGCCACAGCCUCUAUGAGGUGAAUAUUUCAGAGAUUGAUAAAUUAAGGAAGGAAUUAAUGAUCAAAGGUUCUUGAGCACACAUUAUACAGAUCACAAGGGACCUCCUGCAGUAUAAAACAACUUCGUAAACCAUAAUUGAAGAUCAUGAUGUUUCUAUUUUAACUUUUAGAGUCCUAAUUUUACCAACUACAUGUCCCAAACGGCCGUGAUUAUAGCAAUCAUGGCAUGGCAUAUGUAACUUUUUACUAUAGGACCAGUAAAACUUUGAGAAAGGGAACAAGUGAUAAGAAACAACUGAGUUUCAUAUUGUGAGAAGUAGGGAGAAACAACAAGAUUCAAAUCAGAUCAGUUUUUGGAUUAGCCAGAGUUAUUAUAUUUAAGCCAAAUGAUAUUCUUUUACUUAGGCUUGCAGUUGCAGAAAAUUGCACCACACAUGAAGCUCGUCUGAAAAUGCAUUUCUAAAAAUUCCAGAGCUGCAUUUGCAUACAUAAUCAUGAUUCCCCUAAAAUCUUUGAAGGAAACAUAUACAAUUUGACAUGGCACCAUGAAACAAUGUAACUUUUAACCAAAAAAAUUUGACAUGUCCAACCUUGUCUAUAGCAGUGUAAAGGUAUUUCAUGAAAAUUUGGAAGUUAGAUGUCCAGUCGUGCAGAUGGUAAAAAAGUACCAGCCGUGUAGAUGGUAAAAAAUUACCUGAAAAGGUGUCCAACCACAAGGAUCUGGAUUGAAAUCUGAGUCAUCCAUCGAUCACCAUCAAAGCCUUGAUGGUGGAAUACAAAGUAUCCUUCUCUACUUUUUUCCAUUGAACCCAAAACAAAUUCUACUAGUCCACUGCAGCUUGACCACAGAAUGGUGAUGAAGCUGUGUUGUCAAAUUUAAGCUUUGGUGGCACCAUGGCUUUUAAUGACAAGAAUUUAGGCCAAACCAACUUUAUUAUAUUAACCAUAUUUGUGCCAUAGGCCGCAACGCCAAGCAUAUAUGACAGAUUAUUUUUUGCCAGCAGCCAUCCGUCCUUGAUAACACUGAUGAACAGAGCAAUUUUGGCUUUGAGUAAAAGCCUUGAACCUCUACAUGAGGUUAUUGAGUCAAACAGAACCAAGACAAUAAUGAAGAAAAAAUUUACGUAAAAAAAAUGGACUGUUACAAAACAGGAUGUGCUUGACUUGAACUCUACUGCAUAACUUGGCGUGCACUUCAAUAAACCCAGACAAUAAUACAAUAAAUUACAAAAAUAUGGGCAUACAAAGAAGGAAUAGAACUUCUGUCAAAAAAAAAAAAAAGGAAUAUAACUCGACAAUGAAGUAGACAAAUACCAAAAUCAGUGACAGUUUGAACAACAACAAUAGAGCCUUAUCCCACAAAGUGGGGCCAAUCAAAAGAGGUCAUAAUGUUCUAUCAUAUAUAAUAUCUUAUAUCUCUAUCUCAUCUCUAGAUCUUUCUCAAUAGUUUUUCUUUUAGUUUUUGUAGGUCUUCCUCUACCUCUAGUGGUUUGACUAUCUUCCAUCUGAUCUACUCUCCUUACUACAUAAUCUAUAGGUCUCCUCUGUCCUCUAUACAGGCCCAAACCACCUAAGCCGAAUUUCCACCAUCUUUUCUACGAUGGGUGAUACUCCAACUCUCUAACACUGUCACUUCUAAUGCCAACAUGUCUAGUCUUACCACACAUCCAAAGCAACAUCCUAAUCUCCGCUACACUUAUUCUAUUCAGGUGUUGGUUCUUUACCACCCAACACUUGGUCCCUUGCAACAUCACCGAUCUUAAAGAUGUACAAUAAAAGAGAUUCUAGUUCAAGAAAGGGACAAUAUCCUGAAAAUGUGUUGGAACUGCAAAUGAAAUAGAAAAUGGUAGAGGAAAUGCAAAAGGUUAACAACCUGACCUCUUCUCUUCCCGUGUUUAAGGAAAAGCUGAGGAGCAAAGAACAUGGGAUAUUAGCACAGUUUUCAAAGCUACUGGUAAGAGAGGCCCAACAUGUAAAUUGAACACUCUUUUUUAUUCUGUUAUUGAAUGUUAAUAUCACUUCAUCACUAUUUAUUAUCCAUUAGCAUUAGAAUGGAAAAUCCUCCGUGCCUAAGCAGUACAUUUAAUUUGCCAGAGGACAGUCAUAACGGACAAGAGAGCCAAAAAAAUAUUUUUACCUUCAUUGAUAAAUAUCAAAUCUCAAAAGAAAACAUGGAAGUUAACCCAAAGAUUAUGGCUACUCUCCUAUUUAAAAGGAAUGAGGAUGUAUCUGAUAAUGUGAUGUCAGAGAGAAAUAAAACUACUUCAAUCAUGUUGUGAAAAAUUUGAAGAUCUUCUUUCCGAUAGACACCUCACCGGGAUCCUCCUCCUCUUCGUCUUCGUCUUCCUCUUCCCCCUCGUCCUCAUUUUCAACGUCAUUGACUAUGCUUCCAUCUUCAUCUCCAUACUCCAGUGUACCACUUUCUUCAAUGCGGUCCACAGAGUUGGUUGUAGCACCAUUGUCAUCAACAUUGUCUCUUGGUAUUUCAAACUGUAAAAGGUGUUUGAAUAUUAAAUAAAACAGCGCAUAUAUCUAAAAAUUCCAAUUAAAUCAAUCAUCAAUAAAGGAAGACUGAUUUACCCUUACAACUCGAUCAUCUUUGAUCUCCACAGACUUUACGGUUGAGAUCUGCACUAGAGUCGUGGUUUGGAUAUUGUCAUCAGCUACCACUGCUACUUCAGGGUUUUUAUCACCUGCAUCCUGUUUACCACCAGAAGCUUCUUUUUCAAGAGCCUUUGUUUUGUUGGAUAACUCCUGUGUUGAUGAAACUGUGCCUGCACUGCUCAAAGAAAGACAUGAUGUCAGAAUAACAACAACUAAGCCUUAUCCCACUAAGUGGGGUCAGCUCAAGGAAAAGCAUAACAUUCUAUCAAACGGCAUCGUUGGAUAACUCCUGUUUUAGGCAGUCAACAUAAAACUGUCAAAUCUCUAUGAUGUGAUGUCAGAAUAAUCAAGAGAACUCUGACCAGACCACAACCGACAAUGAUGCAUGGUGCUAAAUAUAUUAUUACAAGCUACACAAAUCCACAUGAAGAACAAACAAUAACACCCUUGACAUCCUCCUGCAUUAAAUAGUUUCUCAAUCGGGCAAUUGACAUUCCUCCUAUUACACACAGUAAGAUAUUAUAUAUUAUCGGAAAAAUAUCAACCACAGUAAAGUCAAAUGCACUUCCUUCAGAUAACCCAGUAAAAAAAUCCAAAAUUAAUAUUUAAAAUGCCCUCGAUCAAAAAACUAUACAAACUAGAUAACCAAGAUUGAGGGGCUGCAAUUAAGAUCUACAUGUCAGUAGAACAAUCAAACUGCAAUCUCAAUUUUCAUUAAUAUCUGAUAAUUAGUGCAUUUCUGUCCAUAUAAAUAAUCAAUCUAGCACUUAAAUGAACAAUGCCAAAGUUCUAGAACUACAAUACGACAACACCUAUUGCGGGUAUGUUUGGAUUGCAGUUGUAAACAUACAGUUUUCUUAUAAAAUCUUGGGAUAAUUUGGGUCCAAAGACUUGCAGUUUUUCAAUAGCAAACUAAACAUACACUAUACUGUUUACAGAAAUGUAGAAAUCAUAUUGACUAAUCAAUAAACAGUUGGAUAAAUCAAUUAACAUAGGAACAGUUAUGAUCUGCGGAGAAAAUAUGGUUAGGGAAUGAGUCUUCUUGUGUUUAUUACAAGGUUCAAAUAAUUAAAUCCUAGAACUACAUCCACACCUCACUUUUAUAAAAGACCCGUGGGAAGAAUGACAAUAUUGUAAAUAUGAGAACAUUGGAGGGUAAUAAGAGAACCAUAAUAAAGGAAAUUAUCUCCUAGAAGUUUGUGGUUGUAAUUCAUACCAGCUACUAUAUGGAUGAUAACUUUGAUUUCUUUAUACAAAACUCUCUAAACAUGAAUGAAGCUUAGCACAAAAUAAUUAAUAAUCAUGGUAGUUGUUUUGCAGCCUCUUACUUUUAAUGUUUUUCUCCACAGUAAGCUAUUUUAUGGCCUUAUCUUUUCAGCUUUUCAGCUUUUGAGCUUUAUUAAUUGUUCACAGUGUAGUAUAUACACAUACAUAUACAUUACAUUAUUUGCAUUCAUAUGAUUCAUCCAUAGCUAAUGCAGCCAUAACAUUAAGGUUUGGAGACUCUAAUAGUAAUUUAAACCAUUGACCAUAAUCUUCAUAUGAAGUAUAUGUUUCUUGAACAACUUCAAAUGAAAUUUAACUUCUCAUGCUAUGUUGUUUAACUGUUUUACUAACUACUUAAACUAUUUAUCAUUUGCAGCUACAAAAAUUUACCAUGUGCAGAAUGCAGCAAUUCAUAUAACAUCACCAUGCCUAAUUCAAUGUUUUAGUUCUUCUAUCCAUCAGAGACCGUCUCAAGUUGCAUGUGAUUGCCGAAGUAAAACAAAGGUAUAUUCCCGGUAGGGUCUCCUGAAAUCUCAGAACCUAUAAUAUGUUUGCACUUUUUUUUUCCUUCUGUUUUCAAUGUUUCUGUACAAAGUUUCAUAUAGAAACAGUGAGAACAAAUUUUGAUUGUUAUGUUUUGAUUACACAAUUUGGAAAACAUGAAGAGUGACAAUUUUGAAAUUAAUAUAAAAAAAUGCAAAAUAAAUAAAAAAAAUCUACCAGGCUCUUAGUAUUCUUGUGAUUAAUUAAUAGGGUUCUUUGGUACACCAAGUACACCAAGUACCAACCCUGAUUUUAAAGAAAUUUGUUCAUUGGGUCAUUUAGUAUGUUUUGUUCUGUGAGGCUUUCACGUUAAUCACGAUAAAAAACCAUGUUGACGUGGAAGCUUGGAUUUGGAGCUUUGAUGAAAUUGCGGCAAAAAAAGUACAAGACUCACAAUUGAAGACUGAAACAUCAAACCAAACAUAUGUUUGUCAAAACUGAUCUUCUCAUAUCAAUGCUCCUAAGAACUGCUAUAUGGUAGGAUAAAUGUGAUAAGAAUAGGAGUCAACUGUCAAGUUUGAACCAAGGUUAGGUCUAGCCGAAGUGGCUAGUCUUCCAGACCUAAAGUUUGAAUCCUAGUUGGGAGAGCUAUCCACAUUUAGUGCUCGACAGUUCCUCGAACAUGAUUACCUUCCGUGGAGGUAAUCUGUAGGAAGAAAAGAAGAGAUGUCAAGUGUUGUGGCCUGGGUCAUUUCAUAUAUGUUAAAGUGCAUAACAUCUAAAUGCCCUUUUUUUUUUCUUUCUUUUGUUUGGUACUAACAAUAAACUUUGUAACAGGUUUUUGCAAUGAGGAGAAGAAGGGCAAAUGAGAGAACAGAUACUUAUGUACUAUUAGAACCAGGGAAGGAUGAGAGGUUUGUGUCAGAGGAAGAGUUGAAAGAUACUUUGAAAGAGUGGCUCACAAAUUGGCCUGGCAAGACUCUACCUCCUGAUCUUGCAAGAUAUGAAACCAUUGAUGAUGAUGUUUCUUUCUUAGCAAAGUCCUUUUGAAAACUUGAAAUUGAUAGAGAAGUUGGAUCAGUUCAGUGGUAUGAAAUUCGUUUGGAGUGAAUAUAUAGAAUCAAAUUAUUCCAUCAACCAUUUCAUUUGUGUCUUGCCAACUUGUGAUUGUAAUAGUUGAGGAACCAUUUGUGUUAUUUAGAACAUUCCAUUCUCUUGUAACUGACACAAAC
rnacentral:lncRNA from 1 species